UGAAAGGACUGCCCUGUAGCUGCUGGU
rnacentral:sRNA from 1 species